rnacentral:rRNA from 1 species
AAUGAACGUUGGCGGCGUGGAUUAGGCAUGCAAGUCGAGCGAGAACCCCGCAAGGGGGGACAGCGGCGAAAGGGACAGUAAUGUGUAGAUUAUCUGCCCUCAGGUCCGGGAUAGCUGCGGGAAACUGCAGGUAAUACCGGAUAACAUCUCCGGAUCAAAGGUGUGAUUCCGCCUGAGGAUGAGUCUGCAUCCUAUUAGCUAGUUGGUGGGGUAAUGGCCUACCAAGGCAUUGAUGGGUAGCAGGUGUGAGAGCACGACCUGCGUCAUUGGGACUGAGACACUGCCCAGACACCUACGGGUGGCUGCAGUCGAGAAUCUUCGGCAAUGGGCGCAAGCCUGACCGAGCGACGCCGCGUGUGGGAUGAAGGCCUUCGGGUUGUAAACCACUGUCAGAGGGGAUGAAAUGCAGGUGGGUUCUCCCAUCUGUUUGACAUAGCCUCAGAGGGAGGACGGGCUAAGUUCGUG